GGCGUACCUCGUGAGUCCAGCAAUCCAGACAUGUUGAAAGGUUUGGCUAUGCAGAAUUUAAGGACCUGAAUUCUCUUUUCAGUACUCUGAGUCUCAAUGAAAAGUCUCUACUCACAGGAGAAUUCGAGUGAAUGUUGCUAAUCAAGGAUGGGAUAAAGACAGAGAUGACUGUUCCUUUGGUCAAGAUAAAAAAUUGGAAACUCAGACAAAACAGACACAGACUGGAGGCCCCGUCUAGCCACAGACAGCUUUGAUGACUAUCUACCUAAAAGAGGCGAUAACUUUGGAGACAAGUACUGAGAUCGCUAAGAUUCAAACUGGUAUAGGGCUGGGUAUUUGGACCAUCAUCAGGAUGGCCCACACAGAGAUAUGAACCUCUAUGGGGUCCAGGAUCAUUAUGAUGACAUAAGCAGCUGAGAUUAUGACCAAUGCUAUGACUCCAGGAUAAGCAGUGGCAGAAGAGCAUUUGGAAGUGGGUUUCAGAGGGACAAUGACUACAGAGGAGGUGGGGAUGGCUAUGAAGAUUGAUAUGGCAGAACGAAUGAUUCAUCAUAGAACUCCAGGGAUGAUUACUCUUAGGAUAAUUAUAAGCGUGAUGACAGGGCCGCCCUCGUGUUCCCCCUUCCUCCCCCACCUCCAUAUCUCCCCAACCCUACCCCCCACACUCCCACACUCCAGCCCCUCCAUCCCUACUCCCCACCCCACUCCGAGGCCAAAGACCCAAACUUAAUCUAAAACUUGAGAGAAUGCCUAAAGAAGAUGACUCCUCUGCUAGUACCACCUAGUGCAGCCCAGCCGCUUUCAUCUUUGGAGGGGUGAUUUUAGCAUUCUGUCUACACUCCACCCCAUAAUUACCUGGCAACAGUCAAGUAUGCUCCCUCACCCCCCACAGUUACCUGCAACAGCCAGGUAGGCCUGACCCACUAUAAAAAGGGCUGCUUGCCCCAUCCUCCCUCUCUUACUCUUGCUUCCCUCUUGCUUCUCUCUUUCCAUCUUGAGCUCUUUCCUUCCCACUCUCUCCAUGUGCUCAUGGCCAUGGCCCGCCUCUACUUCUCUACUCUCUCCCUCUCUCUGCCUUUCUCUGCCUCUACUACCCUUUUAAUUCCCCUCCCCAUGCCCUGAAUAAACUUUAGUCCUGUGGCUGGUCCCUCAUGGGGAAGAGAUGCCUCAACAUGGUCCUGCUGAGGCACCCCCUCCCACCAUACCUCACCACACCCCCCACAGAACAUAUCUUACACCUCUAUAUCUUUAUAAACACAUAAUCAGGUGAAGUCUGUUGACACAGAUGCUAGAGAAAGAGAAACAGAAGAACAGCUACAGAAAGAGGAGCAGAAGCUGCAGUAUCCGUUGGAUGAGCCAAAACUAGACCUCCAGCUCGCUGGAGAGACACCCAAAUCGGGGAAGUGAAGAAACUCAGGAAGAGAACGGUUGAGGACAGGAAGUGAGUCAUCUCAGACUGGGACCAUGGCCACAUCUGGCAAAAGUAAGUCAGACUGAGAUACACAAAGGAAAGAGUGAGAUGUCUCUAGAAAAUGAAGCCCUCAAUAAAGAAGACUGUCACUCUCUAACCUUUAAGCCUCUUAAGCCAGUCUCUAUAGAUUAUGCCAGCCCCUCCACCAAAGAAGAAUGUGUGGGUGAAGCGAAGCUCUAACCCUCCUGCUUGAUCUCGGAGCUCAGACACAGACCAGCAGUCCCCAGAAAUGGUGGAGAUAAAGUACUCCAGCUCAGCCCUCUGAGGAAGGACCAUCAAGGAAAGUUGAAAAUAAAGUAGACAGGGUGAGUGUCACACAAGGCCAAACUGGAAACUCCAGGUAUGGUCCUGGGGAUGAAAGGAAUGAGAGCAAAAAGAUCAAGACUUCAGAUCUGUACCUGAGCCAAAGAAAUCUGAGAAGUUCAGCUCUUCAAGCAAGGAUGCUGCUCUGUCAGUGGAUGGUGAGGAUGAGGGAGAUGACCACAGAGUAGACCUCCACACCCUGUGCUUUCUUCCUAGUCUCCAGCCUGGAAAAUUGAAGAGCAAAUCAAAACUCUAUCCAGACAAGACAAAAUAAACUCAUCAUCUGAGGACCUUUCAAAACCUGUUCUUAAUGAAAUGAAAGUGUUUUGUGUGCAUGCUGCAGCCUUUUAAAGUACUGAAGUAACUGGAGAAACACCAUUGUAGCCAGAGAUGAGACUUCUGCUUUGAGGAAAUUAUGUCUGAUGAUACCAACCUGUGUGACUAGUGCCUGAGGCUCUGUUCAGCAGAAAUGCAGUGACAGAGAGUCAGUCACAUCAGUUAGACAGUAGAGAAAGGUACAAGGGAGAAUUGAGAUUUCUGCUUUCUAACUCUUAUAAAAGGUGGCACCUGUGAUUACCCAAACAUUACCUGAGUAAAUUUUCCAACCUUUGAAAGGUUUUAUUUUAAAGCUAAAGGAGGAACAGAAUCAGUUGAAUUUUUCAGAGAGCUUCUUGCACGCGCCGGACUCGCCAGCAAGAACGAUGCCACAAUAGAAUCCUUCUGCACACGUUUAUUGGGAGAGCAUU
rnacentral:lncRNA from 1 species